rnacentral:rRNA from 1 species
GUGACUGCGUACCUUUUGUAUAAUGGGUCAGCGACUUAUAUUCUGUAGCAAGGUUAACCGAAUAGGGGAGCCGAAGGGAAACCGAGUCUUAACUGGGCGUUAAGUUGCAGGGUAUAGACCCGAAACCCGGUGAUCUAGCCAUGGGCAGGUUGAAGGUUGGGUAACACUAACUGGAGGACCGAACCGACUAAUGUUGAAAAAUUAGCGGAUGACUUGUGGCUGGGGGUGAAAGGCCAAUCAAACCGGGAGAUAGCUGGUUCUCCCCGAAAGCUAUUUAGGUAGCGCCUCGUGAAUUCAUCUCCGGGGGUAGAGCACUGUUUCGGCAAGGGGGUCAUCCCGACUUACCAACCCGAUGCAAACUGCGAAUACCGGAGAAUGUUAUCACGGGAGACACACGGCGGGUGCUAACGUCCGUCGUGAAGAGGGAAACAACCCAGACCGCCAGCUAAGGUCCCAAAGUCAUGGUUAAGUGGGAAACGAUGUGGGAAGGCCCAGACAGCCAGGAUGUUGGCUUAGAAGCAGCCAUCAUUUAAAGAAAGCGUAAUAGCUCACUGGUCGAGUCGGCCUGCGCGGAAGAUGUAACGGGGCUAAACCAUGCACCGAAGCUGCGGCAGCGACGCU